rnacentral:rRNA from 1 species
UACGUAGGGUGCAAGCGUUAAUCGGAAUUACUGGGCGUAAAGCGUGCGCAGGCGGUUUUGUAAGUCUGUUGUGAAAUCCCCGGGCUCAACCUGGGAAUGGCAAUGGAGACUGCAAGGCUAGAGUUUGGCAGAGGGGGGUAGAAUUCCACGUGUAGCAGUGAAAUGCGUAGAGAUGUGGAGGAAUACCGAUGGGCGAAGGCGGUUCUCUGGGACGGUACUGACGCUGGAGACGCGAAAGCGUGGGGAGCGAACAGG